CCAGAUAUCAGCAUAAAUGAUUCACAGAUGAACAGCUUUCUUCUCCUUCUAUUUAGUGUCACUUUGGCUUUGAUGCUGAUCGUUACAGCCAUGCUUGUCUGUUCAAUUAGGACAAAAUGCUGUAGAUUUUGCAAAGUCUCAGAGUUUGCAGGCAGAAAUGCUGAAGCAGUUUGUGGACCACAGCAAAACCAGCAGAGAAAUGAGGAUACCUUAGUUUAUUCUACAGCAGUUUUUACCCAGCAAAAAGCUGACAGAGCGGGCAGGGUUAAGACGAGAAGAAAGGAAGAGACCAUCUACAGUUAUGCCAGGGCCUUUGAUAAAGACUAACCUCAAAAAAUGCUGGAUUUCACACUUAAGGAUCCUUUUAGACUAUAUUUUUGCUUUGUAUGCCAUAAAUCCUUCACAGCCUCUUGCAUUUGACGUUAUACAUUAAUUUCCUAAAUAUUUUCACAAAA